CAACCUGAGGCCAUUUCCCCUUGUCCUGCCACUUGUUACCCGGGACAAGAGACCAACCCCCACCUCCACACAACCUCCUCUGAGAUGUAACUCCAGGACAAGUGAUGCUGUAUCCCCUCACAACAUGCUGUCCCCACCUGCUGCUCAAGUUUAAGAGACAAACUUAAGAACAACACAACAGUUUUUCCACUGUUUCCACCUCACUGUGUUCCCACAGUGGUGCCUCACUGUGCAGCAGCACAGAUCAAUCCCCAUCCCAGGAAUAACUGAGCUGGAGGCAUCAGGACUGUCCCUCAGGAACAACAAGGGUGAUGGGGGGUGAUGUCUGCAGUUCAGCACAGUCCAGGACACAGGAGCAGCUCAAACACACCCUCAGCCAGGUCUCCAUGGCCUCCUGUCAGAGCAGCCUGACAGCAAAGCAAAGGAUCUGAAGAACUCGAACGAACCCACCUGGGGGAUGCAGAGCUUCCCAAAAGGACAUCUGAAACCUUGGGACGAGUCUUCUCCAAAAUGUAACAGUCAGGCCAGUGGGAUUGACCACAACUAAACUGCAUCAAGCAGGCUGAGGAAGUUGGGGCUGUUCAGCCUGAGGAAGAGGAGGUUGUGUGGAGACCUCACAUCAACCUUCCAGUGUCAGAAAGGGCUCCAAGGAAGCCAGAGAAGGACUGUUCAUCAGGAACUGGAGAGAUGGGACAAGGAGAAAUGGGUUCAAGCUGAAAGAGAGGAAAUUUAGGUGAGAUACAUGGAGGAAAUCCUUCCCUGUGAGGGUGGGGAGGCCCUGGCACAGGUUGCCCAGAGGAGCUGUGGCUGCCCCAUCCCUGGAAGUGUCCAAGGCCAGGUUGGACGGGGCUUGGAGCAACCUGGGCUGGUGGAAGGGGUGGAAUUGGAUGACCUUUAAGGUCCCUUUCAACCCAGACCAUUCCAUGAUUUUGUGAUCUGCACUGAGAUCCUGCUGCAGGAGAAAAAGAGCAUCUUCUGGGGCUGUAGAGCAACACCACCACCUGUAGGGUUUGUGGGAUAACUCUGCCUCCCUCUUCAGCCUGGCAAAGACCUGUUGGAGAAACAGGACAUUGUGACAGAGGAAAGCUGUGGAAAAACUGGAGAGUCCAAGACAAAUCAGGAGAGGAAGGCAAGAAAACCAGAUCUGUGGAAGACAGAUGUAUGAACUGGAUUAAUGAAGAGUGAAUGAAAACAUUGUGUCCCCAGGGACAGCUGCAAAGGGGAGCAGACCAGGGAUUCAAGUGCAUCAAAGACAGGACACAAUGGGUUCCAACUGAAAAAAAUAAGAUACGGGCUGGGAGGGCUGAGAAGAAUUGGAAACACUCAUGUGCCAGGGUGAAGGGCUGGACCAUGACAUGCUGUGAUCCUUCCCAACCCCUUCUGUCCUCCAAGCACUAACUCAGGUUAGAAAACUCAAUACUGCAAGUCUGUAAUCGGAAAAAAAGUCUUUACUAAAACCUGAAAUAAUUGGUUACAUAUUUUAAUCAUAAAAGAAGGAUGUUGGAAGCUGCAGAGAACUGAGGAUUCUACAGUUUGCAAAGCUACAUAUGGGAAGAAACUCCUCUUUAGCACACUCUGUGGGACUGUUCCGGUGCCAAACCACCCAGAGAUUGUAUUUUCCACCCCCACUCCUUCCAAACAAAACAAAGCCUGAUCCCAGGGCUGAAAGAACCUCCCAGAUCUCAGAGCUUGCAAUUAAAACCACCGGAGGUGACAGCGCUGGAAAUGCUUAAAAAUAAUCAGCCACCUUUGAGUUUUCUAA